AAUCAAGUACUGGGGGCACCCUUGCUGAAACGGAGAGUAUAACACCAAGUGAGAUAAGGGAGGCCAUCAGGCGUUACUGGAAACAUCGGGGUCCACUUGCUUGUUUCAUGAAACAGUGGGGAGAUUGCCCGGGUAAACGCCUGCUGAGCUGCUGAACAGGCCACCCCUUACCGUGGAAGGAUGCAUUCAUCUGGUCGGUUUGGACUUCUGAGCACACAGUUCAGUGCUGCUUAUUGUUGCAUUUGCUCCGUACACUCUGGUGUGAGGGUGUGAAAAGAUUGAGACUGCUAUUAAAUUUUUAAGCAUU